rnacentral:rRNA from 1 species
UACGAAGGGGGGCGAGCGUUUGUUCGGAAUUACUGGGCGUAAAGGGCGCGUAGGCGGCGAUCUUUGUCUGGUGUGAAAGCCCGGGGCUCAACCCCCGGAAGUGCAUUGGAUACUGGGAGGCUGGAGUACCGGAGAGGAGGGUGGAAUUCCCCAAGUAGAGGUGAAAAUUCGUAGAUAUGGGGGAGGAACACCGGUGGCGAAGGCGGCCACCUGGACGGUCACUGACGCUGAGACGCGAAAGCGUGGGUAGCAAACAGG